AUCACAGUCAGUCCGCAACGCCCGCGAUAAUUAGGCAGAAUGACCAAAUUUAUACAGCACCCGGAAGUGCGAUAAACCGUCGUAUUUCGUGUCCCGCGAUUUGCGAGAUUUCUCGAGACUUUUGCACAGGUCAACAAACUUUAUCACAGCUGCUUUGUUUUUCACUGUGCUGCGUAGCAUGUAGGGGACCGAGCAUACCAAGAACAGCUUCUAUCCUUGUACCAUUUCGCAAUGGAAUCAUCAAAGAGUCAACAUCGGCCAAGUCUUCCAAUACCAAAAUUUGGAGCUACAUGCAGAUUGACCACUCAGCGCAGCUGUACACAGGCAGGCUAGAGCGUUGAUGUGGCUCUACUUCAUCUAAAAAUUAGAUGAUGUCUGCAACCCACUGUAUUUUUAUGAGCACCUUUUUAUUUUGACUUUUGAACUCUGCACCCUCAGUUGUGAUGUUUGUUGACAUUUUGCGAUGCCACAGAAGUCUGGACGUAUACCAAUUGGUUAGGUCCAGUACCACCUUAGAUGUAGAUGUAGAUGUUGUUGUUUUUCUGACAGAUGUACUCAACCAUCGAAACUUGCGGGACAUAGACAACAAAUCUUCUAAGACACAGACUUCACACAUCAGUCUCCAUUGCAUUCCUGGAUCAGCAUUUUCUGGACUUCGCAUAGGAACAAACAAUCUUGAAAGGGGAGUUUGGGAGAAGGACGAGGAGGAUUUUGUUCAGCUUAUUCUUUCAGUAAAAGGAAAAUUCAUUUCAAGUGAUUACAUUUUGUAUCUCUGAUACUUCGAAGGUGGGGUUCCGGAGCUUUACAUGAACAAAGCAUUUAUUAUAAAUAAUAAAAAAAACUGAUUGAACUGUCACCGUUAUACAAUUUAAAGGUGUUUUACUCUGAUAAUACUUUUAUUCUCAGCGACACAUUUCGUCGCUGUUUUCACGAAGUGACGGUAGUGAAAAAAAAUUGCAUUCACUUUGCGUUACGAUUUUCCUCAUUACCGUCACUUCGUGAAAACAAGGACGAGCAAGUAAUAGUCUCAAGUUCUCAACAUACAUGUCAAAGUCAGUUUAUAAAUAAAAUAUGAAUAUUAUAAAAUGGAAA